rnacentral:lncRNA from 1 species
GGUACCUUAACUAUGCCUUCAGAAUGCUCUUCCAUUGCUCUCAGACUGGCAGCCUCUGAAUGUUGUGGUAUGUGAUAGGACCAGUGGACUCAAUGGUCUGUGCUCAUAGCUCCUUUGCUAUAAAGAGGAGUCUUUGGUCUCUUAAUGUUAUGUAAGAUAUAAAGUGAACCAGAAACAUUGUUAGGUCUCAGAUAGGUACUGGUUAUUGCCUUGUGGUGAGGAAAGGCAAAUCCAUGCCUGUAAUAUGUGUUGAUUCUAGUCAGUGUGAAUCACUGUCCCUUUGAAUGUGGAAAGGGUCCAGUGUAACAAGUUUACACUGUCUGGUUGAUCUCUUGAGCGAAUAUGCCAUAUUUGGGGCUUGGCCUUGGUCUCUGUUACUGGGAGAUUGGAUAAUCUGUUGUAGCAGUUGGCUAAGUCAACUUUGGUGAGAGGGAGCCCAUACUCUUGGGCCCAUAUAUAGCCUCUGUUCUGCCACCAUGGCUACCUUGUUCAUUAUGCCAGCACUAAAGUGGUCAAUGGCAGAAGUUGGAUGAUGUCAGCUGGUUAGUAUUCUGUAUACAUGGUUGUUUUUUGCCUCUUUCAUGAGAUUUUCUCUGAUGGAUAUUAACAUAUGAUACAGGGAUCCUCCUACUUUUGUCCACUUCCACAGAGCUAUGCUCAUGACCUGUUGCCAGGAAAACCAGUGAAGAGACUUUGUAAUCUUUUAGGUGAAAUGAAAGAGGCCCUGAGCCAGCAGAGUGGCAGUGAGAAUAUAAAUAAAUAUAUCUGAGCAGUUUCUCAGGUUUGGCUUGUGACAUUUGGGAGACUCCAAAGUUUUCAAUCUGAUUGAUUGGGAAAAUCAGCAGUUCAUUUUGAGGCAAGGGAUUUAGGAAAAAGUUGGUCUGUAUAUGGGACAGAUACAUUUUGUUUUAGAAACCCUGAUGUGGAACUCAAGAAGGAGGUUAGAAUUAGAGAAAAACACAGAGCCAUGUCACAACCCAGAAUUGCAGGGGAAAUUUUAUUUGCUAUCACUACUCUAAUUCACCUUCUAGAAUCCUCAAUUUGCUGGUUAUUGUGGGAUUGGGAAUGCAAGGGAAAAAACAAAUACCAGCAGCAGAAAAUACAAGGAAAUUGGUCAAUCAGGUUUAAAACUUAAGCUCAUAUAAGAAUUUAAACAUUUCUUUUCAGUCAGUAGUGUUUAGUGUCUUAGUAUUAACUGAUGAGAGUCUCAGCUUCUCUAAGAUGGCAUCUGAGUUUGUGGUGGAGGGCCGGCUUCUGUGAUUUUAUGGCUUGAAAAAGGCAGGGCUCUCAGAUUCCCAUAUUGUCUCAAGGUUCCUCUGGUCACUCUGGUGAUGUCCUUUGUUGGUGGUUACUCUCCCUGCCAGCGUUUGGACUCCUCUCCUGCAAUUUUGUCAGAAACUAGUGAUGUUUCCUGACUGACAAGGCCUCUGCUGUUAGAGACCCCUCUGAAAUCUGGCUGUGAGUUGGAGUCAUUUCAGCUCAGGUUGGCCCACUAUGAGCCAUGAUCCUUAGCUGGCAAUCUCCCUAGCUAGAUACUCUGGGACUAACCUGUGCCAACUUGGGAAGGCUAAGCUCAGAUCCUUUAUCUGACAAGGCUCAAUUACAAAUUUUUUGCCACUGUAUUUUGAUAACUUUCUCAUUUAUUUACCUUUUAAUUAGUUUAGUAUUGGUCAUUGCCCACCCUUCCCCUCUAAUAUACAUGUACACUAGAAUAUCAACUCAUGAUAAUGGUAUCUUGUCAGUCCUGUUGAUUGCUGAAUCACAAGCUACAGGGAAAGCACCUGUCACAUGGUUGGCCCUUAAUAGAGUUUUUGUAAGUCAAUAAAGGGCAGAAAUAAUAGAAGAAAUCCUCAAAGAGAAGUAUGUCAAGUACGAACAAGAUGAAGAUUAAACUGUUGAGUACAUCUUCUACCUUCUAUUUUAGAGGUAGACAUUAUAAGAGGUUCCAGGGAAGGAGACUGAGAAGAACUGAUCAAAAGAAGUGUGAAGAUGAAGUGCAGGAGAUUGGGAGAAGCAUGUAUGUUUAUAAGUAGUAUAAAGAGAUGAGUCUGAGAAAACUCAGAUCUCAGGGAAUUAUGCCAUGAAAGGGAAAAUAGAAUUGUGGCACUAGGUAAAAUCUUUUAUGAAGGUUGAUGGUAAAGGUAAGGAGUUAGGGCAUAUCACUGGGCUCUUCAGGAACAGGACUCAUGAAGGACUCUUUUCUUCCCAAGACAGAAGAAAGUUGGUGCUUUGAUAUGUGGGGAGGAACUGGUGGAGGGAAAGAGGGGGAAGACUGAAAACAGAGAUGGUUUAUGAAUUAAGGUCUCAGAACUUAACUGGGAAAGGAUGAGAUCAACCUUAGAAUGGAAGACAGGAAGAAUGAAUGGAAAAUAGACGAUCUGAGGCAAAUGGGAAGUACAUAUUUUGCUUAGUAAAAUAGGUGUCCCGGUUAUCUGCCAAGAGUGUAUGUACACAAGUCCUCCACCUCCCACACUUCUUUUCUACUUUCUUUGACCUUUUCUUGGCAAAAGAUAAGCAACCAUGCUUCUUGGAAGAACAAGAGCUCUUUAGUUCUUGUUCAGACUUGGAUAAGAGACUUAGUUGCACAGAAUUGCAACUAGAGUUGCACAGAAUUGAUAUGAGGGUCUCAAUAGAUCUCAGACUCAACUCUGUUUAUGAUCCCGAGUUAUGUAACUAAUAUGAGUAAUUCAAAUAAUGCAAGUUUCGGAUUCUUUUCUACCUUAGACAUUCUGACUCAUUAUCAAAUAAAUAAAAUUUAUUUACUCUGAAUGUUUCCUUUUAGUUGGUCUUCUUAACUGAUGUGAGAGUCCAUCAAUACCUUGUUUUAGUUAUCCUAUGAAAAUGAAGAGUUUAUGGAUUAUAUGCUGAUGGGAAAAUUACCUGCUGAAGUAAAUAACUUCAUACUUGUUUUUUAUUCUACUGAUUUCAUGUAUAUGAAUUAAAAAAUUUUUUUUGGACAUUGUAAAAGCACAUAUGAAGUACAUAAUGUGCAUAUCUGGUGUUAAAAUACUUUUUAAAAUUACUUGAAUUAAUAAAGUUUAUAUGGAGUGAUAUUUGCUUUGCCCAUGUUUUUUUGACUGUUGUUCAUCUAUUCAUUUACCAUUUCCUUACUGGCUAAAUGCGUAGGUUCUGUUCUAGGUGGUGAGAAUAUAAAUGCACGAAAGAUUCAGUCCCUGAAUUUGAAGGAGUUUAUGGUCUGGUUAUAGAAGACAUACUGUAAUAACAUAAACACAAUAAUAUAUUGUAUGUGCUAAGAAAGAAAUAUGUACAGGAUGGAGUAGGGCCCAAAGGAGUGAGUGGUCAGUUUCUGCCUCAGAAGAAUGGGAACCUGUUGUCAAGAAAGGUUUUACUGAUGAAAUGUGCCUGAAUCUUGAAAGGUAAGAGUAUUUUUGUUAAGUUUGCCUUUAGAUGAUGUGAAGUCUUUGAGGACAAAGAAUCUCAUCUUAUACACGUUUGUGUUCUGGACCAAAGGAAGAAUUUGCCAGUAAAUGAAUUGUUUCCAAACAGUUCCAAAUUUACUAUUAUAAAGGUAUUUCUUUAAAAUACCAGUAGGUGGCAGUAUUACUCCAUAUAAAAAGACUGAUGACCAAACAGUGGAAGUGAUUUUCCUGAAUUUCCAAACCUGGUAAUGAGGGUGUUCUGGGUUAAAAAUGGAUGAGAAAAAGUGAGUUUGAAAAUUUUUCUUGGCAGACCAGUUUUUCCUUGAAUAAACCAAUGUCUGAACCCCUUCACACCCUCUUUCCACUCACCCUGAACUCCAGAGAUCUGCAUAAAAUUGACUUGGACACUUCUCAUUCAAGGCCUGUGGAAGUCUGAAGCCCUUUUAAAGAUUUCUACAAUACCUUGACCCAGAAACAAAACUGAGCUCCCUGCUUGAUGUACACUAAAAGCCCAUUCACAUGAAAUAUUCGUAAGUUUAAGAUCUUUUAGUGAAGAUUUGGGGAAAGGAUAACAGCAGAGUUUUACACAGCAGCAGUACAGACAAGUGCAAAUGAAUCAGGCAGCUUCCCAGGUCACAGAAUGUUCUUUGGCCUCCCACCAUCAUGGAGUUUGACCUAAUUCUUUUAUUGUAUUUUUAUUUUUUGUCUUUUUAGGGCUGCACCAGUGGCAUAUGGAGGUUCCCAGGCUAGGGGUCGAAUUGGAGCUGUAGCCGUCAGCCUACGCCAGAGCCAUAGCAACAUGGGAUCUGAGAUGUGUCUGCAACCUACACCACAGCUCAAAGCAACGCUGGAUCCUUAACCCACUGAGUGAGGCCAGGGAUCGAACCCACAUCCUCAUGGAUGCAAGUUGGGUUCGUUAGCCACUGAGCCAUGACAGGAACUCCCUGAUCAUGGUUUUUAGCUGGUGGUUGCAGGUUUUUCUUUCGCAGGGUGAUGUUAAGUGAUGUGAGCUCGAUAGGGUUCUCUGCUUCUCUCUCCAUCUUCCAUGUGCCUAGAAAAUAGACCCUGUUUUCUUUCAUGAUCUAUCAUAAUUUUAUUAUUUUUGGGUUUUUUUUUGAAGUACUUUAUUUAUGCAAAUCAGUAUGGUCCCAGGAUUAGGGUGGAAAUUGUGAUUGGUCUGCUAUAGGGAACCAUUCUACCCCCUAUGAAAAUGUUCAAUAUAAAGAAUAUUUGAAAGAGGAGUUCCCGUCGUGGUGCAGUGGAAACGAAUUCGACUGGGAACCAUGAGGUUGCUGGUUCAAUCCCUGCCCUUGCUCAGUGGGUUAAGGGUCUGGCAUUGCUAUGAGCUGUGGUGUAGGUCACAGACACAGCUGGGAUAUGGUGUUGCUGUGGCUCUGGUGUAGGCCAGCAGCCGAGGCUCUGAUUCGACUCCUAGCCUGGGAACUUCCAUGUGCCAUGGGUUUGGUCCCCCCCCCAAAAGGACAUUUGAAAGAAUCGUUGAAUCUAUCACCUAGAGUCUAUGAUUGUUAACAUUUGGUUUUAUUUGCCUUUCAUUAAUCUAAUUUUUUGUUGUAUUUCAAACUAAGUUGCAGGCAAAAGUACAUUUCACUCCUAGACAUUUUAGCAUGCAUAUAAUUAACUAGAGAGUAGUUUUUACUUUCAGUUCUUUUUUUGUUUUUGAGGUAAAAUUUAUGUAAUAGUGGUAUUCAGUUAUUAAGUAUACUUUAGAUAAGUCUUGACUAAUGCAAAAACCAGGGUUAUCUAAACUCCUAUCAAGACAAGAGAAAAUUUCCAUAAAGCUUUCGUUUGUACUGAUAUUUACUUUACCAUUAAAAUUUUUUCUCAAUGGAGACCAUUCCUUCUCCCAUUCUCCCAUGCAGCUUACAGGGCACAGAGGAAGUAUCUGCAUGUUUCUUAUUCCCCGCUGUCUCUAAUCAGGUAUUGACCCAGUAUCAAUUCUUGGCAACUGAACUGGGAACUCUGUACCAAUCACUUAUACUAUCCUAUUUCCACCACUAACUAUCAUCUGGCAAGACAGUCUCCUCUGUUUUCUACUACCAUGAUGAUUCAGAGUCUUCUGCUCCAUCCUCAGGCACAGAAUUGCUCAGCCAUUACAAUUCUGAACUGAAAAAUUAAUGAAUUAAGUCAUUCUUGGCUGCAUUGGUGGCGUUUGGAAAUUUCUAUGCCAGGGAUCAAAUACGAGGUGCAGCUGUGACCUACACUGCAUCUGUGCAAGGCUGGAUCCUUCAAACCCUCUGCACUAAGCUGGGGAUUGAACCUGCACUACUGCAGAGACAAUGCUGGAUCCUUAACU